UUUGAAGAGUACCUUAGCACUUCCUCUUUUAUUGUGUCAGACUUCCUGUUCUGUUCUCGGUGAGGCGACGCAAACACGUUGCUUCAGAACUGGCUAAGAGAUGCGCAUGGAGGAGGUUGGCUAGCUGAUUCAGCAUGAUUAGCACCCUUGGAAGCAGAAAGAGUUUUCACGGUGCCAUAUUGUCGGUGGUUUAAAGAGGAGAGAAUAAAGUUGCAUCAGUCGAAGCUCUCUGCGUCACGAG